AUUGAACGCUGGCGGCAUGCCUUACACAUGCAAGUCGAACGGCAGCACGGGAGCAAUCCUGGUGGCGAGUGGCGAACGGGUGAGUAAAGUAUCGGAACGUGCCCAGUCGUGGGGGAUAACGUAGCGAAAGUUACGCUAAUACCGCAUACGAUCUAUGGAUGAAAGCGGGGGAUCGCAAGACCUCGCGCGAUUGGAGCGGCCGAUAUCAGAUUAGGUAGUUGGUGGGGUAAAGGCUCACCAAGCCGACGAUCUGUAGCUGGUCCGAGAGGACGACCAGCCACACUGGGACUGAGACACGGCCCAGACUCCUACGGGAGGCAGCAGUGGGGAAUUUUGGACAAUGGGCGCAAGCCUGAUCCAGCCAUGCCGCGUGCAGGAUGAAGGCCUUCGGGUUGUAAACUGCUUUUGUACGGAACGAAAAGGUUUGACUUAAUACGUUGGACUCAUGACGGUACCGUAAGAAUAAGCACCGGCUAACUACGUGCCAGCAGCCGCGGUAAUAC
rnacentral:rRNA from 1 species